rnacentral:rRNA from 1 species
UACAGAGGUCUCGAGCGUUGUUCGGAUUCAUUGGGCGUAAAGGGUGCGUAGGUGGCGCCGUAAGUCGGGUGUGAAAUUUCGGAGCUUAACUCCGAAACUGCAUUCGAUACUGCGGUGCUUGAGGACUGGAGAAGAGACUGGAAUUCAUGGUGUAGCAGUGAAAUGCGUAGAGAUCAUGAGGAAGACCAGUGGCGAAGGCGGGUCUCUGGACAGUUCCUGACACUGAGGCACGAAGGCCAGGGGAGCAAACGGG